GCCCUUAUAGCUCAGUUGGUAGAGCACCUGAUUUGUAAGUCGAGGGGGUCGGGAGUUCGAGUCUCGUCUGGGGCACCA
rnacentral:tRNA from 1 species